GAUGAACGCUGGCGGCGUGCCUAAUACAUGCAAGUCGAGCGAACAGACGAGGAGCUUGCUCCUCUGACGUUAGCGGCGGACGGGUGAGUAACACGUGGAUAACCUACCUAUAAGACUGGGAUAACUUCGGGAAACCGGAGAUAAUACCGGAUAAUAUAUUGAACCGCAUGGUUCAAUAGUGAAAGACGGUUUUGCUGACACUUAUAGAUGGAUCCGCGCCGCAUUAGCUAGUUGGUAAGGUAACGGCUUACCAAGGCAACGAUGCGUAGCCGACCUGAGAGGGUGAUCGGCCACACUGGAACUGAGACACGGUCCAGACUCCUACGGGAGGCAGCAGUAGGGAAUCUUCCGCAAUGGGCGAAAGCCUGACGGAGCAACGCCGCGUGAGUGAUGAAGGUCUUCGGAUCGUAAAACUCUGUUAUUAGGGAAGAACAAAUGUGUAAGUAACUAUGCACGUCUUGACGGUACCUAAUCAGAAAGCCACGGCUAACUACGUG
rnacentral:rRNA from 1 species